UUUUGUGUGAAGGUAGCAUAAUCAGUAGUCUUUUAAUUGGAGGCUGGAAUGAAGGGUCGGACAAGGGGGAAGCUGUCUUUUUUACAAUUUUUGAAUUUUACUUUUAAGUGAAAAGGCUUAAAUGGGUUGGGGGGACGAUAAGACCCUAUAAAAUUUUACAAAAUUAGGAUUUUUUUUUAAAUUAAGGUUUAAAUUCUAUAAGUUCUUGUUUGUUGUGUUGGGGCGGCAAAGAUAAAAAUUAGUAACUGUCAUUUAAUCAGAAUAAGUAUAAUUAGUUUAGUUGAUCCUUUAUUAGAGAUUAAAAGAUUAAGUUACUUUAGGGAUAACAGCGUAAUUUUCCCUGAGAGUUCUUAUCGACGGGAGUAGUUGCGACCCCGAUGUUGAAUUAAGGA
rnacentral:rRNA from 1 species